rnacentral:lncRNA from 1 species
AGCAACGCUACAGAUUGACUCAUGGCUAUGGGAGUGUUUCACCCUGAGCCCACAGCCCUUUGAUUUCACCAGACACCCUUGUGUGUUUACAAACAAGGGAUCUCCAUUUCAGGGCUGUCAAAACUGGUGACAUCCUACAGAGCCACGUGGCAGAUGAUGCUUCAUCCUGAGUUUCACCUGGUUCUCCUCCUCCCCUUCCCUCAUGUGUGGCUGGAAAGAAAUUCUUCCUGGCUUGGUUUGAGCUACAGCUCUCCCAAGCCGGGCUUUGCUUCACCUGUGUUGUUGCAGUCUCUUGAAAAAUCAACAUUUUCCCACUUCAUGUCUCAGCCUUCCUGAGCAUGGAGCAGCCAGGCUCUGCACCAGAGCAGACCUCAUGGAAGUGUGGGAAGGCAGAUGAUGUGAGCCUUGUUCAGCCACCCAGAAGCUGUUUGAAACAGCAUCUGAAGAGGGGUCUGGGCAUGGAAAGUACCCAGCACCAGGGAGGGUGAGACCAGCCUUUGGAAAAUGGCUUUGAGUCACAGAAUCGUGGAAUGGUUUGGGUUGGAAGGACCUUAAAGAUCAUCUAGUGCCAACCCCCUCAUCAUGGGCAGGGACUUUGUGUCCCUGAUGACAGUGGAGCUGUGCUGCUUUGCUCUGAGCAUCUGUCACCAUCACGGCACAGCAGGGGAAGGGAUGGCAUGUGCCGUGUCGCAAGCCUGUGAAUCCCCAAAAAAGGAACAGGCAGCAGCCCUGGGAUCUCGCGGGUGACCGAGUGUGGAGGAAGUGUAGCAAAAAUUACAGACGGUGGCUGGUUUGCAUCUCCCUCUGGCUGGGAGCCAGCAGAGGUUGUGAGCCCACUGCAGCAUCCCUGUGCCUCCCGCUCCCCUCCGUGGGGGAAAGAGGCUGUGGGAGCCAGGUUUCACUUCGACCCUCUCCAAAAAGGCCUCGCUAUUAUAAGGAUAAUGUAACCUGGAGACACCCAAAGCCUCCCAAAUGGCUUAAAAUAAUGCUCACCACAAAAGAAACAAACUUGGACUCCAGUCAACCUUUUAAAAAUCCCAAAAAUAAAAAUAAUCCCCGCCUGCAAUAAAAAGAAGUGGCUCCAAUUCUCAGCCCUCCCUCUGCCACACACGCAGCCCCCUGCCCCUUAAACCAGCCCAAAGUGAAGCUUUCAGGUUCCCAGGAUGGGUUUUCCACGGA